rnacentral:rRNA from 1 species
GCCACCGCGGUUAUACGAGAGGCUCAAAUUGAUGAAAAACGGCGUAAAGCGUGGUUAAGAAAACAAGAGAAAAUAUGGCCGAACAGCUUCAAAGCAGUUAUACGCAUCCGAAGUCACGAAGAACAAUCACGAAAGUUGCCUUAAAACCUCUGAUUCCACGAAAGCCAUAAAACAAACUGGGAUUAGAUACCCCACUAUGUAUGGUCGUUAACAUUGAUGGUUUUAUACCCAAACCAUCCGCCUGGGAACUACGAGCAAUAGCUUAAAACCCAAAGGACUUGGCGGUGCUUUAGACCCCCCUAGAGGAGCCUGUUCUAGAACUGAUAACCCCCGUUUAACCUCACCAUCCUUUGUUUACCCCGCCUAUAUACCACCGUCGUCAGCUUACCCUGUGAAGGGAAAAUAGUAAGCAUAAAUGGCAAAGCCAAAAACGUCAGGUCGAGGUGUAGCGAAUGGGAUGGGAAGAAAUGGGCUACAUUCUCUAUUAUAGAGAAUACGAAUUGUAAUUUGAAAAAAAUUACCUGAAGGAGGAUUUAGCAGUAAGUAGGGACUAGAGUGCCCUGCUGAAAACGGCCCUGAAGCGCGCACACACCGCCCGUCACUCUCUCCAAAUAAACCCUAGAUAUUACCUAAAAUGCUUUUUAUAAUAAGGGGAGGCAAGUCGUAACAUGGUAA